GGGAAAUGACUUCGCUCCGGCUUCAAUGCUGAGGAAAGUCCGCCCACGCUAGAAAAGGCCACCUGUAAAGGAUCCUGUAAGGGAUGGCAACAUCUCAGAAACGGAACGCCCAAGAUUCGCGAUGAGGCUUGCGAAGGUUUUGGCAACAAAACUGAGCUAACCAGCCGAGCUUGUUUUUUGGAAACGGUGAAACGGAUAGCCCUGGCCCGUGCAAGUCCUUUGUGACGCUAAGUUUAAUGCGAAGACAGACUGUCCUAACGGAGUCUGACAAAAGGCGGCUUAUCAUUUCCC
rnacentral:RNase_P_RNA from 1 species